AUCACUUCUCGGCCUUUUGGCUAAGAUCAAGUGUAGAAACAUCGAUCAAUAAAAAUUUUAAAGAUUUUUAACAGAAUCUGAGCUUGUAAUUUUGGCCAGCUAUGAAAUGACUUAGAUUCUUACACACACAUAUACAGAACCAUUU
rnacentral:snRNA from 1 species